GCUUCAUACAGGGAGUGCAGAAUUAUUAGGCAAAUGAGUAUUUUGACCACAUCAUCCUCUUUAUGCAUGUUGUCUUACUCCAAGCUGUAUAAGCUCGAAAGCCUAAUACCAAUUAAGCAUAUUAGGUGAUGUGCAUCUCUGUAAUGAGAAGGGGUGUGGUCUGAUGACAUCAACACCCUAUAUCAGGUGUGCAUAAUUAUUAGGCAACUUCCUUUCCUUUGGCAAAAUGGGUCAAAAGAAGGACUUGACAGGCUCAGAAAAGUCAAAAAUAGUGAG
rnacentral:lncRNA from 1 species